AGCUCCAAUAGCGUAUAUUAAAGUUGUUGCAGUUAAAAAGCUCGUAGUUGGAUUUCUGACAAGAGUGAUCGGUCCGGGCCACAUGGUCCGUGUACUUGGUUUUACUCUAGUCAUCCUUAUGGAGAACGUGCGUGGCAUUCGGUUGUCGCGUACGGGACCCAUAUCAUUUACUGUGAAAAAAUUAGAGUGUUCAAAGCAGGCAAUCGCUGUGAAUACAUUAGCAUGGAAUAAUAAGAUAGGACUUUGGUACUAUUUUGUUGGUUUGCAUACCAAGGUAAUGAUUAAGAGGGACAGUUGGGGGUAUUCGUAUUUAAUUGUCAGAGGUGAAAUUCUUGGAUUUAUGAAAGACGAACUACUGCGAAAGCAUUUACCAAGGAUGUUUUCAUUAAUCAAGAACGAA
rnacentral:rRNA from 1 species